rnacentral:rRNA from 2 species
UUCCGGUUGAUCCUGCCGGACCUGACUGCUAUCGGAUUGAUACUARGCCAUGCGAGUCAUUGUAGCAAUACAAGGCAUACGGCUCAGUAACGCGUAGUCAACCUACCCUAUGGACGGAAAUAACCUCGGGAAACUGAGAAUAAUAUCCGAUAGAACAUUAUGCCUGGAAUGGUUUAUGUUCCAAAUGAUUUAUCGCCGUAGGAUGGGACUGCGGCCUAUCAGUUUGUUGGUGAGGUAAUGGCCCACCAAGACUAUUACAGGUACGGGCUCUGAGAGGAGUAGCCCGGAGAUGGGUACUGAGACACGGACCCAGGCCCUAUGGGGCGCAGCAGGCGAGAAAACUUUGCAAUGUGCGAARGCACGACAAGGUUAAUCCGAGUGAUUUCUGCUAAAGAAAUCUUUUGUUAGUCCUAGAAACACUAACGAAUAAGGGGUGGGCAAGUUCUGGUGUCAGCCGCCGCGGUAAAACCAGCACCUCAAGUGGUCAGGAUGAUUAUUGGGCCUAAAGCAUCCGUAGCCGGCUCUGUAAGUCCUCGGUUAAAUCUGUACGCUUAACGUACAGGCUGCCGGGAAUACUGCAUAGCUAGGGAGUGGGAGAGGUAGACGGUACUCGGUAGGAAGGGGUAAAAYCCUUUGAUCUAUUGAUGACCACCUGUGGCGAAGGCGGUCUACCAGAACACGUCCGACGGUGAGGGAUGAAAGCUGGGGGAGCAAACCGGAUUAGAUACCCGGGUAGUCCCAGCUGUAAACUAUGCAAACUCAGUGAUGCAUUGGCUUGUGGCCAAUGCAGUGCUGCAGGGAAGCCGUUAAGUUUGCCGCCUGGGAAGUACGUACGCAAGUAUGAAACUUAAAGGAAUUGGCGGGGGAGCACCACAAGGGGUGAAGCCUGCGGUUCAAUUGGAGUCAACGCCGG